AUUGAACGCUGGCGGCAUGCCUUACACAUGCAAGUCGAACGGCAGCACGGGAGCAAUCCUGGUGGCGAGUGGCGAACGGGUGAGUAAUACAUCGGAACGUGCCCAAUAGUGGGGGAUAGCCCGGCGAAAGCCGGAUUAAUACCGCAUACGACCUACGGGUGAAAGCGGGGGAUCGCAAGACCUCGCGCUACUGGAGCGGCCGAUGUCGGAUUAGCUAGUUGGUGGGGUAAAGGCCUACCAAGGCUACGAUCCGUAGCUGGUCUGAGAGGACGACCAGCCACACUGGGGCUGAGACACGGCCCAGACUCCUACGGGAGGCAGCAGUGGGGAAUUUUGGACAAUGGGCGCAAGCCUGAUCCAGCCAUGCCGCGUGCGGGAAGAAGGCCU
rnacentral:rRNA from 1 species